rnacentral:rRNA from 1 species
AUUGAACGCUGGCGGCAGGCUUAACACAUGCAAGUCGAGCGGGGUGAUGGUGCUUGCACUAUCACUUAGCGGCGGACGGGUGAGUAAUGCUUAGGAAUCUGCCUAUUAGUGGGGGACAACAUCUCGAAAGGGAUGCUAAUACCGCAUACGUCCUACGGGAGAAAGCAGGGGAUCACUUGUGACCUUGCGCUAAUAGAUGAGCCUAAGUCGGAUUAGCUAGUUGGUGGGGUAAAGGCCUACCAAGGCGACGAUCGGUAGCGGGUCUGAGAGGAUGAUCCGCCACACUGGGACUGAGACACGGCCCAGACUCCUACGGGAGGCAGCAGUGGGGAAUAUUGGACAAUGGGGGGAACCCUGAUCCAGCCAUGCCGCGUGUGUGAAGAAGGCCUUAUGGUUGUAAAGCACUUUAAGCGAGGAGGAGGCUCUUUUGGUUAAUACCCAAGAUGAGUGGACGUUACUCGCAGAACAAGCACCGGCUAACUCUGUGCCAGCCGCCGCGGUAA